rnacentral:misc_RNA from 1 species
GAUGAAGAACGUAGCGAAAUGCGAUACGUAAUGUGAAUUGCAGAAUUCAGUGAAUCAUCGAGUCUUUGAACGCACAUUGCGCCCCCUGGUAUUCCGGGGGGCAUGCCUGUCCGAGCGUCAUUGCUGCCCUCAAGCCCGGCUUGUGUGUUGGGUCUCGUCCCCCUUCCCGGGGGGACGGGCCCGAAAGGCAGCGGCGGCACUGCGUCCGGUCCUCGAGCGUAUGGGGCUUUGUCACCCGCUCUGUAGGCCCGGCCGGCGCUUGCCGAUCAACCAAAACUUUUUUCCAGGUUGACCUCGGAUCAGGUAGGGAUACCCGCUGAACUUAAGCAUAUCAAUAAGCGGAGGA